GGCUCGCGGUCGAGUGGGCGGGCCCGGGCGCAGCGAGCCCCCGCCGGGAGGCCGGGGGAAGGAGGGGAAGAUGGCGGAGUGAGGGGCGGAGGAGGCGGAGGGGCCGGGCCGGCCGCGGCCCCGCGGCCUCGGCCGCGCUCAGCUCACUGAAGAGGAUGUGGAAUGAUCAAAAGUAAUGCUCUCCAGGUCUGUUUUUCCACAUCUUCAUAAGAAUAAGACUUUCCCAAUAGUCUGAGUGUCGAUGGUCAACCCAAUGAUCAGCUGAAAUAUUCGAGUGACUCAAGAGAUAUCAAUAGUGACAUGUACUAUAUUUCCAUUUUCAUGGUCUAAUCACUGCUUCUAACAUAGGAGCUGAAAAUUGUCACUGGAAGUCUAU
rnacentral:lncRNA from 1 species